UACAGAGGUCCCAAGCGUUGUUCGGAUUCACUGGGCGUAAAGGGUGCGUAGGCGGUUCGGUAAGUCUGCUGUGAAAGUCCAGGGCUCAACCCUGGGAUGCCGGUGGAUACUGUCGGACUAGAGUACGGAAGAGGCGAGUGGAAUUCCCGGUGUAGCGGUGAAAUGCGCAGAUAUCGGGAGGAACACCAAUUGCGAAGGCAGCUCGCUGGGACGUUACUGACGCUGAGACGCGAAAGCGUGGGGAGCAAACAGG
rnacentral:rRNA from 1 species